AAGGUUUUAAGUUAUAUAAACUAAUAAUCUUCAAAAUUAUAAAAAAAGAUAAAUAUUCUUUAAGCCUUA
rnacentral:tRNA from 1 species